GACGAACGCUGGCGGCGUGCUUAACACAUGCAAGUCGAACGGAAAGGCCCUGCUUUUGUGGGGUGCUCGAGUGGCGAACGGGUGAGUAACACGUGAGUAACCUGCCCUUGACUUUGGGAUAACUUCAGGAAACUGGGGCUAAUACCGGAUAGGAGCUCCUGCUGCAUGGUGGGGGUUGGAAAGUUUCGGCGGUUGGGGAUGGACUCGCGGCUUAUCAGCUUGUUGGUGGGGUAGUGGCUUACCAAGGCUUUGACGGGUAGCCGGCCUGAGAGGGUGACCGGCCACAUUGGGACUGAGAUACGGCCCAGAGUCCUACGGGAGGCAGCAGUGGGGAAUAUUGCACAAUGGGCGGAAGCCUGAUGCAGCAACGACGCGUGCGGGAUGACGGCCUUCUGGUUGUAAACCGCUUUCGCCUGUGACGAAGCGUGAGUGACGGUAAUGGGUAAAGAAGCACCGGCUAACUACGUG
rnacentral:rRNA from 1 species